rnacentral:rRNA from 1 species
UACGUAGGGUGCGAGCGUUGUCCGGAAUUAUUGGGCGUAAAGAGCUCGUAGGCGGUGUGUCGCGUCGGCCGUGAAAACCUGGGGCUUAACUCUGGGCGUGCGGUCGAUACGGGCAUCACUGGAGUUCGGCAGGGGAGACUGGAAUUCCUGGUGUAGCGGUGAAAUGCGCAGAUAUCAGGAGGAACACCGGUGGCGAAGGCGGGGUCUCUGGGGCCGAUACUGACGCUUGAGGGAGCGAAAAGCAUGGGUAGCGAACAGG